rnacentral:rRNA from 1 species
UACGAGUGGCCCAAGCGUUAUCCGGAAUUAUUGGGCGUAAAGGAUGUGUAGGCGGCCUUCUAAGUCGAACGUGAAAUCCCCGGGCUCAACCCGGGAACUGCGUCCGAUACUGGAAGGCUUGAAUCCGGGAGAGGGAUGCGGAAUUCCAGGUGUAGCGGUGAAAUGCGUAGAUAUCUGGAGGAACACCGGUGGCGAAGGCGGCAUCCUGGACCGGCAUUGACGCUGAGGCGCGAAAGCCAGGGGAGCAAACGGG